rnacentral:rRNA from 1 species
GGAGCUUGCUCCUGANGAGGUUAGCGGCGGACGGGUGAGUAACACGUAGGCAACCUGCCCCCAAGAUCGGGAUAACAUUCGGAAACGAAUGCUAAGACCGGAUACACGGUUUGGUCGCAUGAUCGNAUCGGGAAACACGGAGCAAUCUGUGGCUUGAGGAUGGGCCUGCGGCGCAUUAGCUAGUUGGUGGGGUAACGGCUCACCAAGGCGACGAUGCGUAGCCGACCUGAGAGGGUGAACGGCCACACUGGGACUGAGACACGGCCCAGACUCCUACGGGAGGCAGCAGUAGGGAAUCUUCCACAAUGGGCGAAAGCCUGAUGGAGCAACGCCGCGUGAGUGAGGAAGGCUUUCGGGUCGUAAAGCUCUGUUGCCAGGGAAGAAUAAGGAUCAUUUAACUGAUGAUCCGAUGACGGUACCUGAGAAGAAAGCCCCGGCUAACNACGUGCCAGCAGCCGCGGUAAUACGUAGGGGGCAAGCGUUGUCCGGAAUUAUUGGGCGUAAAGCGCGCGCAGGCGGCUCUUUAAGUCUGGUGUUUAAGUGCGGGGCUCAACCCCGUGACGCACUGGAAACUGGGGAGCUUGAGUGCAGAAAGANGAGAGCGGAAUUCCACGUGUAGCGGUGAAAAUGCGUAGAGAUGUGGAGGAACACCAGUGGCGAAGGCGGCUCUCUGGACUGUAACUGACGCUGAGGCGCGAAAGCGUGGGGAGCAAACAGGAUUAGAUACCCCUGGUAGUCCACGCCGUAAACGAUGAGUGCUAGGUGUUGGGGGUAUCAUGCCCUCGGUGCCGAAGUUAACACAUUAAGCACUCCGCCUGGGGAGUACGGUCGCAAGACUGAAACUCAAAGGAAUUGACGGGGACCCGCACAAGCAGUGGAGUAUGUGGUUUAAUUCGAAGCAACGCGAAGAACCUUACCAGGUCUUGACAUCCCUCUGAAUCCGGUAGAGAUAUNGGCGGCCUUCGGGACAGAGGAGACAGGUGGUGCANGGUUGUNGUCAGCUCGUGUCGUNAGAUGUUGGGUUAAGUCCCGCAACGAGCGCAACCCUUGAACUUAGUUGCCAGCNAGUNAGGNNGGGCACUCUAGGUUGACUGCCGGUGACAAACCGGAGGAAGGCGGGGAUGACGUCAAAUCAUCAUGCCCCUUAUGACNUGGGCUACACACGUACUACAAUGGCCGGUACAAAGGGCCGCGAANCCNNGAGGUGGAGCCAAUCCCAACAAANCCGGUCUCAGNUCNNNUUGCAGGCUGCAACUCGCCUGCAUGAAGUCGGAAUUGCUAGUAAUCGCGGAUCAGCAUGCCGCGGUGAANACGUUCCCGGGUCUUGNACACACCGCCCGUCNCNCCNCNANAGNUUNCAACACCCG